GGGCCCGCACAAGCGGUGGAGCAUGUGGUUUAAUUCGAUGAUACGCGAGGAACCUUACCAGGGCUUAAAUGCAGAACGACAGAGGUGGAAACACCUCCUUCUUCGGACGGUCUGCAAGGUGCUGCAUGGUUGUCGUCAGCUCGUGCUGUGAAGUGUCGGGUUAAGUCCUAUAACGAGCGCAACCCCUGCCGUUAGUUGCCAGCAUGUAAUGAUGGGAACUCUAACGGGACUGCCGGUGCAAACCGCGAGGAAGGUGGGGAUGACGUCAAAUCAUCACGGCCCUUACGUCCUGGGCUACACACGUGCUACAAUGGCCGGUACAGAGGGCAGCCACACCGCAAGGUGGAG
rnacentral:rRNA from 1 species